rnacentral:lncRNA from 1 species
AGAAAAUAGGUUAAGUUAGCACAUUCCAGUAAGUAUCCCAUCCACAUUUUUUUUGAUGAAGUAAGUAUCCCAUCCACAUAACUCUAUGCAGUCUCAUGAUUGACAACAACAUUAUAUCAACACACCUAUCGAUAAAUAUUGAAAAUGAGAAUUCUGACUAAACCUAUCACUCUACAUUGCACAUCUAAUAUACAUUAAAACGGAGACACAAUUGGUUCGACACCUAUAUCCUUCGCACAUUUCUUAUACUCUGGCUUCAGCUAAAAUGUUCUCUUGGUUUCCUCCUCUUUUGUUGCACAUGCAAAGUUUAUUCACCAUAUCUUUCAAAAACUGUUGCAAAACAAGCAAGAUAAUCAGGUUACACCAUCUGGGAUGGGAUAGUUGAAAAUGCACUGCAUAGCUGAAGAAGGACAUGCAACAUCUUCCAAAUCAUUUAUGUAUUCUCCUCUCCUUUUUU